CCCGAAUAUGAUCUUAUUGGUUAUACAAGCAGCAGAAGUCUUGAGGACUGUUUAAGUUUUGAGUUUAAGCUCUAAAAACACUAAAUGUGACCAAAAUUUCAUAUUUGUCAAAUAAAAGCAGAUUGGAUAAAAGAAAAGAAAUUAGGCCUUCAACAUGCCCAAAAUUUUUAAGGAAUGUAGGGGAAAAUUUUCAGGUGUUAGCAUACAAUGAACGAAUAACACCCUGGGAUGUUACCAAUAAUCCCCACAAGAACAUGAACCAUCUCUGAAAUGGUGGAAUCUAUUAAUGUCUCUCACAAUUAUCUCUCUUGAGACAAUUUUACAAAUGUACUUGAAUGCGGUGUGGCAGUCCAAACAAAUUCGAAGAUUCUUUUUCACUCUAAUGGAAGCUCCUGGCGGGGUGGCAAUCAAGCCAAAAGCAACUGCAAGUUUUUCACUGUGGUGGUUUAGGAGCUGCUUUUUCUCAUUUAGUUCAACAUCAUGGAGGUCAAUCUCUAACAUGGGAACAUAACCAGCUUUAUCUAAGAGCUCACUUAGCUCGUCAAGCUUUGCAUAGAUUUCCUUGCUUCUAGAAUGGCUUCUAUCUCCUACUAUGAAUGUGUAUACCUUGUCUUUCAUCUCAAUCCAACUCAUCGCUGGCUCCUUCUUCAGCUUGCUAUCUUUCAUGAGUCUUCUCAUCUUUGCUACACCAUCCCACAUGCCAGCUGAUGCAUAAAUGUUAGCAAGAAGAACAUGGGUACCUGAUUUCCCAGGUUCUAGGGCAAAAAGCAUCUCAGCAGCUUGUUGUCCAAGAUCAAUAUUCUUAUGGAUUCUUGCAGCACCAAGAAGGGCACCCCAGACUGAAGCAUUAGCUUGAAAUGGCAUUUUAUUCAUGAGCUCUAUUGCC
rnacentral:misc_RNA from 1 species